AGCCCAGAGCCUGAAUCAGUGUGUGUGUUAGUGGAAGCGUCUGGAAAGGCGCGCGAUACAGGGUGACAGCCCCGUACACAAAAAUGCACAUACUGUGAGCUCGAUGAGUAGGGCGGGACACGUGGUAUCCUGUCUGAAUAUGGGGGGACCAUCCUCCAAGGCUAAAUACUCCUGACUGACCGAUAGUGAACCAGUACCGUGAGGGAAAGGCGAAAAGAACCCCGGCGAGGGGAGUGAAAAAGAACCUGAAACCGUGUACGUACAAGCAGUGGGAGCCUCUUUUAUGGGGUGACUGCGUACCUUUUGUAUAAUGGGUCAGCGACUUAUAUUCUGUAGCAAGGUUAACCGAAUAGGGGAGCCGAAGGGAAACCGAGUCUUAACUGGGCGUUAAGUUGCAGGGUAUAGACCCGAAACCCGGUGAUCUAGCCAUGGGCAGGUUGAAGGUUGGGUAACACUAACUGGAGGACCGAACCGACUAAUGUUGAAAAAUUAGCGGAUGACUUGUGGCUGGGGGUGAAAGGCCAAUCAAACCGGGAGAUAGCUGGUUCUCCCCGAAAGCUAUUUAGGUAGCGCCUCGUGAAUUCAUCUCCGGGGGUAGAGCACUGUUUCGGCAAGGGGGUCAUCCCGACUUACCAACCCGAUGCAAACUGCGAAUACCGGAGAAUGUUAUCACGGGAGACACACGGCGGGUGCUAACGUCCGUCGUGAAGAGGGAAACAACCCAGACCGCCAGCUAAGGUCCCAAAGUCAUGGUUAAGUGGGAAACGAUGUGGGAAGGCCCAGACAGCCAGGAUGUUGGCUUAGAAGCAGCCAUCAUUUAAAGAAAGCGUAAUAGCUCACUGGUCGAGUCGGCCUGCGCGGAAGAUGUAACGGGGCUAAACCAUGCACCGAAGCUGCGGCAGCGAC
rnacentral:rRNA from 1 species